rnacentral:tRNA from 1 species
GUCUCUGUGGCGCAAUCGGUUAGCGAGAUCGGCUGUUAACCGAAAGGUGGCGGUUCAAGCUAACCCAGAGACG